rnacentral:antisense_RNA from 1 species
AGACACACAGAGAGGACAGAUGAUGGGAAGACAGACAGAAGACAGCUGUCUAUAAGCCAAGGAAUGCCAGAGCUCCUGGAAGCUGGGAGAGAGGCAGGAACAGAUCCUCCCACACUGUCUCAGAAGGAACCAGCCCUGCAGACACCUUGAUGUCGGCUUCCAGCCUCCAGAGCUGUGAGACCAUACAUUUCUGAUGUCUAAGCUGCCCAGUCUGUGGCACUUUGUGACCUCAGCCCCAGGAAACCAGUACAAAGAGCUUAAGGAGCUGAACCCAGGGAGUUGGGCAGCAAGGCAGCACCAUGCUGGCGGCAGGGGUUGGCUCCCACAGGGCAGAGAGGAUGCCCAGUGGGGAGGCCCCACUUCCUCCAGAUCCCGUGGAGCCUGCUCUCAGGUCACGCCCAUCCACAGCGGGAUGCUGAAUGCACCGCACAUCCCACAUACGCCAAAAUGGCCAGGGCGUGCAUAGGACUCAGCAUUGGGCUCACUGCUGCUAGGAAGGUCAGUGACGAGGAUGGCGGAUGGAGAGCAGGUGCUCAGACAGCACCGCUGGCUCCAUGCGCCUCCCUCUCAGUGCCACCGCCAGGGGGACAGGAGGCUGGGAGGGACAUGCAGGCUCAUUUUCAUCUCCAAACACCCCAAACAGGAAGCCUAGAGACACAACCACAGACGCAGGGCAUCAGCCCCACAGAUGCCUGGGGUCCCACGCAGAUGCACGGCAUCGGCACCAUGGACACCUGGGGUCCCAUGCAGACGCAGGGCAUCAGCCCCACGGAUGCCUGGGGUCCCACACAGACACAGGGCAUCAGCCCCACGGACGCCUGGGGUCCCAUACAGACGCAGGGCAUCAGCCCCACGGAUGCCUGGGGUCCCACGCAGACGCAGGGCAUCGGCACCAUGGGUGCCCGGCAUCCCACCCAGUUGUGAGGCACCAGCAUCAAGGAUGCCCAGGGUCCCCCCCAGACACAGGGCAUGGGCACCACAGAGACGCCUGGUGUCCCACCCAGCCCAGGGUGGCUUUCAGCCAAGCCUCCCCAAAUGAUACAUAAACCCAAUUUCAUAAACAAAACCACAUUUUUUCAAAAGAAAACUUAGACUGUUUUGUGGCGAUAGCCUUCAGGGUUGGAAAGAAAUGUAAGAGUCUGCAAAUUUAGUUUUUCCAUCAAAGGGAUAACAAUUAUUCCUUUUGAGAAACAUUGAGUCCAAAGAAAAGUUUUGAUUUUUUGAUCAUGUAACUUGGAUUCCAAGACUGCUACAUACUUCUGGUUCCCCCCAAAAAAAUUAAAAAAAAAGAUGAACUCA